GUAUUUCUGAUGAGACCCAAACCAGGUCGAAACAGCUGUCCAGUAG
rnacentral:hammerhead_ribozyme from 1 species